GUAUUUUUUAAAAUUCAGAUAUGCAAAUUAAAGUUCCUAUUUUUUAUUAAUAAAUAAUUCAGAAAUUUAGCGUCAUUGUAAUAUAAAGAAACUAUUAAUUAUUGUUUGUUGUACAACAAAUAUGUUUUGGGUACCUGUCGAAGCUGGUCAGUGCGCAUACCUCAUCUGUGGUUUUAAAAUUAUGGCUAAUUUCAUCAAUAAAUCAUGAAAAUUUUCGAAGUUUGUCGAUUUUAAAAGUAAUAAGUUUAUAAAUACUUUGCCCUUUUAUGGAAAACGAGAGGACUUUAUUCAAUUUUCGAGAUCAACAAAAAUUAUAUUCAAUAUAUAUAUAUAUAUUUACAAAAUUUUAUUUCACAAUUAAUACAAAAUGAGAUAUAAUUCACGGUAUAAAUUAUUAAUCUCACUAAUGGAAUAGAAAGGAAAUAACAUUACUCAAUAAAGACUAUAAUUGAGCUAUUAAAAAAAUACCAUCUUACCCACAGAUUAAGAAGUUAAUAAAUGAAUCAAAUUAUAAUAUCAUCCACAGAAAAUUUUUUAUAAAAACUAAUCUGAACCAAUGUUUGAAAUUAAUUGUCUCAACAUUUUCGACUUUAAAAUUUUAGCAUUUAAAACAUUUUGUUACCCUUCAAAUUAUUCCGCCACAGGCCCGGGCCUCAUAAGCCUAGGCGUAAAUCUAUCAGUGAAUAUCAUAGGCGAAUAUUUGAGUCCAAAUAGUAGUAUAUGAAAUUAAAACAAGCCUCUUCUCGUUCUAAAUACCGCAAAAAAACAACAUUUUGAUUUAAUUAGCAUUGUCAAUAACCCGAAUAUAAGUGGAGAGUCAUUUUUCUAUAACCUUGACAGGACUAAACGUCGUAAACACGAUACAAUUAAACAACAGCGUUGUAUGUAAACACAAGGUGGCAUCGAGCCGUUUAUUGGUGAAAAAUUUAGCACAAAAAAUAUGCGUACUUAAUCACUAAGAGAGUGGAUGUGAAUCCAAUAGUUUACAAGCCAAGAAAA